UUAAACAUGAGGAUGGUCAUUAAACACCACCAUGUUGGGUUGCAUACUUCUCACUUUCAUACAUGUAUUGUUUUGGCAACCAGGUCAUUACCAGGAUGUGACUCAGCUACCUAAAAUCAUCUGGAAGUCUGCGGCCGAAUCCGCAGAAAUGAACUGCAGCCACACCAGAGACAAAGGUCACAGCCAGAUGUACUGGUACCGACAGCGACGGGGGGAGACCAUGACCCUGGUUGUGUACACGCCGUUCGGUGGGCAGCCAGACUACGGAGAAAACCCGCAGAGCAAAUACUCAGCGGUCAAAGACACCAUAGAGACCGGAGCUCUGACUGUGAAGGACCUGCAGCCUGAUGACAGCGGCGUUUAUUUCUGUGCCGUCAGCAAACACAGUGAUUAGAUGGCACUGGAGAUCCACGAAGGCUUUUCAGCUUCAACUAUAAUGGCUUGGCAAACUGGGCGUGUUCAUAAAACAGACUAAAACGCUGUUGGACACACUGGUCUGCUCAGAGGGAGAGAGAGAGAUAGAG